GACGAACGCUGGCGGCGUGCUUAACACAUGCAAGUCGAACGGAAAGGCCCUGCUUUUGUGGGGUGCUCGAGUGGCGAACGGGUGAGUAACACGUGAGUAACCUGCCCUUGACUUUGGGAUAACUUCAGGAAACUGGGGCUAAUACCGGAUAGGAGCUCCUGCUGCAUGGUGGGGGUUGGAAAGUUUCGGCGGUUGGGGAUGGACUCUCGGCUUAUCAGCUUGUUGGUGGGGUAGUGGCUUACCAAGGCUUUGACGGGUAGCAGGCCUGAGAGGGUGACCGGCAACAUUGGGACUGAGAUAAGGCCGAGACUCCUACGGGAGGAAGCAGUGGGGAAUAUUGCACAAUGGGCGGAAGACUGAUGCAGCAACGCCGCGUGCGGGAUGAAGGCCUUCGGGUUGUCAUCCGCUUCCGCCUGUGACGAAGCGUGAGUGACGGUAAUGGGUAAAGAAGCACCGGCUAACUCCGUG
rnacentral:rRNA from 1 species